UGCAAGUCGAACGGUGAAGCGAGAGCUUGCUCUUGUGGAUCAGUGGCGAACGGGUGAGUAACACGUGAGUAACCUGCCCCAGACUCUGGGAUAAGCCUUGGAAACGAGGUCUAAUACCGGAUACGAGACGAGACCGCAUGGUCAUUGUCUGGAAAGAAUUUCGGUCUGGGAUGGACUCGCGGCCUAUCAGCUUGUUGGUGAGGUAAUGGCUCACCAAGGCGACGACGGGUAGCCGGCCUGAGAGGGCGACCGGCCACACUGGAACUGAGACACGGUCCAGACUCCUACGGGAGGCAGCAGUGGGGAAUAUUGCACAAUGGGCGCAAGCCUGAUGCAGCGACGCCGCGUGGGGGAUGAAGGCCUUCGGGUUGUAAACCCCUUUCAGCAGGGAAGAAGCGAAAGUGACGGUACCUGCAGAAGAAGCGCCGGCUAACUACGUGCCAGCAGCCGCGGUAAUACGUAGGGCGCAAGCGUUGUCCGGAAUUAUUGGGCGUAAAGAGCUCGUAGGCGGUCUGUCGCGUCUGCUGUGAAAUCCCGAGGCUCAACCUCGGGCCUGCAGUGGGUACGGGCAGACUAGAGUGUGGUAGGGGAGACUGGAAUUCCUGGUGUAGCGGUGGAAUGCGCAGAUAUCAGGAGGAACACCAAUGGCGAAGGCAGGUCUCUGGGCCACAACUGACGCUGAGGAGCGAAAGCAUGGGGAGCGAACAGGAUUAGAUACCCUGGUAGUCCAUGCCGUAAACGGUGGGCACUAGAUGUGGGGCUCUUUCCAUGAGUUCCGCGUCGCAGCUAACGCAUUAAGUGCCCCGCCUGGGGAGUACGGCCGCAAGGCUAAAACUCAAAGGAAUUGACGGGGGCCCGCACAAGCGGCGGAGCAUGCGGAUUAAUUCGAUGCAACGCGAAGAACCUUACCAAGGCUUGACAUAUACCCUUUACCCCUAG
rnacentral:rRNA from 1 species